UACGUAGGGUGCGAGCGUUAAUCGGAAUUACUGGGCGUAAAGCGCGCGCAGGCGGCUCGUCAAGCCUGACGUGAAAGCCCCCGGCUCAACCGGGGAGGGUCGUCGGGGACUGGCGGGCUUGAGGUCGGCAGGGGUUGGUGGAAUUCCCGGUGUAGUGGUGAAAUGCGUAGAGAUCGGGAGGAACAUCUGUGGCGAAGGCGGCCACCUGGACCAACACUGACACUGAGGCACGAAAGCGUGGGGAGCAAACAGG
rnacentral:rRNA from 1 species